rnacentral:rRNA from 1 species
CAGCAGCCGCGGGAAUACGUAGGUGGCAAGCGUUGUCCGGAAUUAUUGGGCGUAAAGGGCUCGCAGGCGGUUUCUUAAGUCUGAUGUGAAAGCUCCCGGCUCAACCGGGGAGGGUCAUUGGAAACUGGGAAACUUGAGUGCAGAAGAGGAGAGUGGAAUUCCACGUGUAGCGGUGAAAUGCGUAGAGAUGUGGAGGAACACCAGUGGCGAAGGCGACUCUCUGGUCUGUAACUGACGCUGAGGCUCGAAAGCGUGGGUAGCGAACAGGAUUAGAUACCCCUGUAGUCCCUGUCUCUUAUAC